rnacentral:rRNA from 1 species
AACUUAGCAGAGAUGCUUUGGUGCCUUCGGGAACUCUGAGACAGGUGCUGCAUGGCUGUCGUCAGCUCGUGUUGUGAAAUGGUUGGGUUAAGUCCCGCAACGAGCGCAACCCUUAUCCUUUGUUGCCAGCGGCUCGGCCGGGAACUCAAAGGAGACUGCCGGUGAUAAACCGGAGGAAGGUGGGGAUGACGUCAAGUCAUCAUGGCCCUUACGGCCAGGGCUACACACGUGCUACAAUGGCGCAUACAAAGAGAAGCGACCUCGCGAGAGCAAGCGGACCUCAUAAAGUGCGUCGUAGUCCGGAUUGGAGUCUGCAACUCGACUCCAUGAAGUCGGAAUCGCUAGUAAUCGUAGAUCAGAAUGCUACGGUGAAUACGUUCCCGGGCCUUGUACACACCGCCCGUCACACCAUGGGAGUGGGUUGCAAAAGAAGUAGGUAGCUUAACCUUCGGGAGGGCGCUUACCACUUUGUGAUUCAUGACUGGGGUGAAGUCGUAACAAGGUAGGCGUAGCGAG